rnacentral:snRNA from 1 species
GUGCUCGCUUCCGCAGCACAUAUAUUAAAAUUGAAACGAUACAGAAAUUAGCAUGGCCCCUGAGCAAG